rnacentral:rRNA from 1 species
GGUAGGAGAGCGUUCUAAGGGCGUUGAAGCAUGAUCGUAAGGACAUGUGGAGCGCUUAGAAGUGAGAAUGCCGGUGUGAGUAGCGAAAGACGGGUGAGAAUCCCGUCCACCGAUUGACUAAGGUUUCCAGAGGAAGGCUCGUCCGCUCUGGGUUAGUCGGGUCCUAAGCUGAGGCCGACAGGCGUAGGCGAUGGAUAACAGGUUGAUAUUCCUGUACCACCUAUAAUCGUUUUAAUCGAUGGGGGGACGCAGUAGGAUAGGCGAAGCGUGCGAUUGGAUUGCACGUCUAAGCAGUAAGGCUGAGUAUUAGGCAAAUCCGGUACUCGUUAAGGCUGAGC